GUAAGGAAUAUUGCUCAAUGGCCGAAAGGCUGAAGCAGCAACGCCGCGUGAAGGAUGAAGGGAUUUUUCUUGUAAACUUCUGUAAGAGGGGAAAAAUAUCCCGAUUUAUCGGGAUUGAUUGUACCUUCAGAGUAAGCCCCGGCUAACUACGUGCCAGCAGCCGCGGUAAUACGUAGGGGGCAAGCGUUGUCCGGAUUUACUGGGUGUAAAGGGUGCUCAGGCGGGUUUGUAAGUCAGAGGUGAAACUCCGAAGCUUAACUUCGGAACUGCCUUUGAUACUGCAUCCCUGGAGUUUGAGAGAGGCGAGUGGAAUAUCUGGUGUAGCAGUGAAAUGCGUAGAUAUCAGAUAGAACACCAAUGGCGAAGGCAGCUCGCUGGCUCAUAACUGACGCUAAAGCACGAAAGUGUGGGUAGCAAACAGGAUUAGAAACCCGAGUAGUCC
rnacentral:rRNA from 1 species